UCAAUACAUUUUACUUGAAAUACAUAGGUAAUGUUAAUUUAUUAAAAAUAAUUGUUUUCGUGUGUAUAUCGUGUGUAAUGUGUAUAUCGUGUGUAGGUCGUGUGUAUAUCAACUUUUUGAAGACUAAACAUAUUGCCACAGAUAGAUAAACGCGGCUAUCAAUGAAAUGCGUCUUGAGAAUGGUUCAGGUCGUCGUACUGACAUCUGCGGUCCCGACUGCAACCUCGAUAGUGGUCAAAAAUUGCCACAAGCGUCGCAUAUACACACACAAAGUACUAUAACAGUAUAACACUGUUAUCGUAGUCAACAGAUACAUAGGAUAUUACCCUAUACGAAAGCUGAUGGAAUCUCUUUGUUAGCAAUUUAAUAAAAAUAUGACCAAAAAAACUUUUUAGAAGAUUCCAUACGCGUUGGCUACAGAUUAAACCAAUAACACCGAUGGCGUAACAAUACGAAUAAUUUUUAUUUUACCAUAAUUUUGUACCGAUAGUCAUCAAAUCCAAGUACCAAACUAUCUGAGUUCAAAACAAACAUAUGGAAUUUUAAUAGAAAAUCUGAGGAUAUUGAAGACCUUUAUUUGUUAAUGUUGAAUAUCUCUGCAUAUCAUUCCACACAUUCAAUAUUCAAAUUUUAAAAAUGGUUGUACUAUAAAUUUGUAUGUACUAAUAUAGCAGCAUAAAAUAGGAAGUUAAUUUAAAAUCAAAUGUAUUAUAAAUUAAAAAACUGGAUUAAGUUUACAUAAGCUGCUCCAAAUUAAGCCUAUGAAUACGAAUCCAAAUUCAAAAUAAACUUGCAAAUUUUAAAAGAAAUUGAUAACAAUUUAGGAAAUAAAU